rnacentral:rRNA from 1 species
GACGAAGGGGGCUAGCGUUGUUCGGAAUCAUUGGGCGUAAAGCGCGCGCAGGCGGAUUGAUAAGUCAGGUGUGAAAUCUCGAGGCUCAACCUCGAAACUGCGCCUGAAACUAUUAGUCUAGAAUGUCGGAGGGGGCAGGGGAAUUUCACGUGUAGGGGUAAAAUCCGUAGAGAUGUGAAGGAACACCGGAGGCGAAGGCGCCUGCCUGGACGACUAUUGACGCUGAGGCGCGAAAGCGUGGGGAGCAAACAGG